GAGAAACUACUUUGUUAUCACACCAGUAUCUCACAUAAACACAGACCCCAGGUAACGAGAAACUACUUUGUUAUCACACCAGUAUCUCACAUAAACACAGACCCCAGGUAACGAGAAACUACUUUGUUAUCACACCAGUAUCUCACAUAAACACAGACCCCAGGUAACGAGAAACUACUUUGUUAUCACACCAGUAUCUCACAUAAACACAGACCCCAGGUAACGAGAAACUACUUUGUUAUCACACCAGUAUCUCACAUAAACACAGACCCCAGGUAACGAGAAACUACUUUGUUAUCACACCAGUAUCUCACAUAAACACAGACCCCAGGUAACGAGAAACUACUUUGUUAUCACACCAGUAUCUCACAUAAACACAGACCCCAGGUAACGAGAAACUACUUUGUUAUCACACCAG